CCAGGCCAGAACGAGCACCCAGCAGUACAAACAGACCCCCAGGCCAGGACUGAGGCAACCCAGCAGUACAACAGACCCCCAGGGCCAGAGUGACAACCAGCAGUACAACAGACCCCCAGGGCCAGGACUGAGCAACCCAGCAGUACAACAGACCCCCAUGGCCAGGACUGAGCAACCCAGCAGUACAAAAGCACCCCAGGGCCAGGACUGAGCACCCAGCAGUAACACAGACCCACAGGCCAGGACUGAUCAACCCAGCAGUACAACAACCCCCAGGGCAGGACUUAGCAACCCAGCAGUACAACAGACCCCCAGGCCAGACUAGCAACCCAGCAGUACAACAGACCCCCAGGGCCAGGACGC
rnacentral:lncRNA from 1 species